rnacentral:rRNA from 1 species
GACGAACGCUGGCGGCGUGCUUAACACAUGCAAGUCGAACGGAAAGGCCCUGCUUUUGUGGGGUGCUCGAGUGGCGAACGGGUGAGUAACACGUGAGUAACCUGCCCUUGACUUUGGGAUAACUUCAGGAAACUGGGGCUAAUACCGGAUAGGAGCUCCUGCUGCAUGGUGGGGGUUGGAAAGUUUCGGCGGUUGGGGAUGGACUCGCGGCUUAUCAGCUUGUUGGUGGGGUAGUGGCUUACCAAGGCUUUGACGGGUAGCCGGCCUGAGAGGGUGACCGGCCACAUGGGGACGGAGAUAGGGCCCAGACCCCUACGGGGGGCAGCGGGGGGGAAUAUGGAACAAUGGGGGGAGGCCGGAGGCGGCACCGCGGGGUGGGGGAGGACGGCCUUCGGUUUGUAAACCGCUUUCGCCUGUGAGGAAGGGGGGGUGAGGGUAGGGGGUAAAGAAGCACCGGCUAACUACGUG